rnacentral:rRNA from 1 species
AGUGAACGCUGGCGGCGUGCCUAAUACAUGCAAGUCGAACGGAGUGGCGCACGGGUGAGUAAUGUAUAGCUAAUCUGCCCUACACUAGAGGACAACAGUUGGUAACGACUGCUAAUACUCUCUAGUGUAGGUUGAGGCUAUAUUGUAUCAGCUAGUUGGUGAGGUAAUGGCUCACCAAGGCUAUGACGCAUAACUGGUCUGAGAGGAUGAUCAGUCACACUGUAAGGGAGACACGGUCGAGACUCUUACGGGAUGGAGCAGUAGGGAAUAUUGCACAAUGGGGGAAACCAUGAAGCAGCAACGCCGCGUGGAGGAUGUCACUUGGCGGAGCGUAAACUCUUGUGGUUAGGGAAGCGGUACCUAACGAAAAAGCACCGGCUAACUCCGUGCCAGCAGCCGCGGUAAUUC